rnacentral:rRNA from 1 species
GACGAACCGUGCGAACGUUGUUCGGAAUCACUGGGCUUAAAGGGCGCGUAGGCGGGUGGUCAAGUCGGUGGUGAAAGCCUCCAGCUUAACUGGAGAAGUGCCGCCGAUACUGACUGUCUCGAGGGAGGUAGGGGCAUGUGGAACUCAGGGUGGAGCGGUGAAAUGCGUAGAUAUCCUGAGGAACGCCGGUGGCGAAAGCGACGUGCUGGACCUCUUCUGACGCUGAGGCGCGAAAGCCAGGGGAGCAAACGGG